AACGAACGCUGGCGGCAUGCCUAACACAUGCAAGUCGAACGAGACCUUCGGGUCUAGUGGCGCACGGGUGCUUAACGCGUGGGAAUUUGCCCUUCGGUUCGGAAUACCUCAGGGAACCUUGUGCUAAUACCGGAUGAUGGCUUCGGACCACGGGUUUAUCGCGGAGGGAUGAGCGUGCGUCGGAGUAGGUAGUUGGUGGGGUAAGGGCUCACCAAUCCGACGAUCAUUAGCUGGUCUGAGAGGAGGAUCAGCCACACUGGGACUGAGACACGGCCCAGACUCCUACGGGAGGCAGCAGUGGGGAAUAUUGGACAAUGGGCGAAAGCCUGAUCCAGCAAUGCCGCGUGAGUGAUGAAGGCCUUAGGGUUGUAAAGCUCUUUUACCAGGGAUGAUAAUGACAGUACCUGGAGAAUAAGCUCCGGCUAACUCCGUGCCAGCCGCCGCGGUAA
rnacentral:rRNA from 1 species